rnacentral:ncRNA from 117 species
GGUGAACCUGCGGAAGGAUCAUUG